GGCGGCCGUUGUUGGGCGCGCGGGGGCGGCCGUUGUUGGGCGCGCGGGGGCGGCCGUUGUUGGGCGCGCGGGGGCGGCCGUUGUUGGGCGCGCGGGGGCGGCCGUUGUUGGGCGCGCGGGGGCGGCCGUUGUUGGGCGCGCGGGGGCGGCCGUUGUUGGGCGCGCGGCUUCCCCUCAGAAGGAAGGAUUUUCCUGUAUAAAACCGGGAGAAAUUAAGAAGCUAAAUGAAGAGCAUCUAACUUUUUGAAUAUAAAGUGCUGUGUUGUCUUAGCAAGAGUUCUUGCAGGAAACAAUAGAGAUGGAGCAAGCUGAAAAGCCGUGCAGCUCUAAUGACAUUUGCCUCUGAAAGAUGGUUGAUGAAGGUGCACUGUAAAAUAUGAGCACAUAUAAGAAGUACUGAUGGCAUGUUCAUUGGUUAAACCACAGCCAGCAGAAAUGGAGACCCUGGAUCUGCUGAGGAAUUGUUUGGUCUGCAAAUGGGACUUGCGGAGGAGAGACUCCAGAAUGCUCCCUUGCCUUCAUUCCUUCUGUAAGGACUGUCUUCCCGAUUUGAUUCAAGGAUAUAGCUGUAUUCCCACUGAGUAUGAAGUUCUCUACGAAGGUAAUGUUUAAAAAUCUCUGGCUUGUGCUCAUUGUAUCACAGUAUUAUAACAAUAGGUGGAUUGAGAAGUACUUUUUGUGGCCUAUUCCUUUACAGCACUACAUUAAAAGAAUAACCUAGGAGACUCAAGAUUUGUAUGUGUAGAGGGUGGACUGGAAACAAGCCCC
rnacentral:lncRNA from 1 species